UGAUCGGUGGUUGAGUGGAGUCCAGCUAGCGCACCGAGAAAUCUCAUUUGGGGAAAGUUUCCGAAAUCCCCGAUUCUUCUCCUUGUAGGAAAAGGCAUUGACUUGCCCCUUCCUCCUUCGAUCCGCGGUCUAGCCAGCUGGUUGCUGAUUCGCUGCUUGUUCGGAUUGAUUCGAUUCGUCGUCCAUGGAUCGUCGUGACGAUUCUUGCUGCCCCGGCGGCGGCGGCGGCGUCUCAUCUCUGAUCGGAGAAUUUGUUGGGGACGUGGUGAUGUGGCGGCGGGGCGACGUGAGCGCCUGCCUGCUGGCGGCGACCGUCUCCGGCUGGCUGCUCUUCGGCUCCGGCGGCUACACCUUCCUCUCCCUCGCCUCCAACGUCCUCCUCCUCCUCCUCACCGUCCUCUUCCUCUGGGCCAAGGCCGCCCGCCUCCUCAACAGGAAUGGAAUUUCUGUUGGACUCUACUUUCCAUUUUGGGAUACAGAUUUCAGUUGAUAGUUAACCAAUGGAAGGAACAAUCCAGGCACUUAAUUCUUAUCAUCAUCACAGCUUUCACUGUUGUUUUGACAUUCCUCCAUCAAUUUAAUCAUUAUUACUUCAGUUAGAGGAUUAGGUGGAUGCUUUGAACUUUGACCAAAUUUAUGCUAAUUGACAAUCUAACAACCAGCCAGGUGAUACUGAUGUCAGAUUAGGUACGUGCUGUAAACUAUUUUAACUGAAAUGCUAAGGGUAGACAAUGAUAAGCUUUGUCUUGCAAACAGCUUACUGUUUUUUACUUCAAUCAGAUGAGUGAAUUGCUCAUCGCUGUGGACAUUUGGCAAAUAUUUUAAACGAUGCUGGUUGUGUUGUGCAAACAAAUGAGGUUGCAGGCCAGAGCCACCUAUUCCAGAGAUGCGCAUUUCGCAGCAGGUUGUGAAUGAAGUGGCAGCCCUGCUGCAUUCUGGCAUGAACACGGUCUUCUCUGUCUUCCAUGACAUCGCACUCGGGAAAGACUCGGUGCUAUUUUAUCAAGUCUUCCUUAGCCUGUGGAUCAUUUCUAUCAUUGGCAGCCUGACUGAUUUCACCACUUUAUGUUACACAAGUAUUGUUGCUGUUCUGACCAUCCCUGCAUUGUACCAGAAGUAUGAGGAAUGCAUUGACAGAUACAUGAGGUUUGCGUAUUUGAACCUGCAGAUGUACGAGAUGGUGUACGAGAGAUUCUCUGCCAAGUGCUUCCACAGGGCUAGGGAUUUGGUUAUUGAGGUUCUGAAAGAGCCAUGACCUGAUCAAUAUUGUGUUUGCUUGUACAAGAUGGUGGAAUUGGGUUUUUAACUGGAUGAUGAUUGAUUUGUUGUUUCCUGUAUAGAGAGAGGGAUAGGUUGAUUGAUUUUUUCCCCCAUGGAGUGCUGGUUUUGUUUGUUUGAUUUCAAUCAUAUGCAGAUAGUUGGGGCCUUGAUGGUCAGAGAUGCAGUUCUUGUUGAGAUGCCUGUAAUGGUUGCGUUUGUAAAUUGUGUCCAAAGGGACAAAACAGUGUGCAGAUUUUGGUUUCUUUUGGCCUUCGAUCACUAGUUUUCAGGGUUUUUUCUUUA